rnacentral:siRNA from 1 species
GUCGCCGCGUGCCGGCCGGG